UACGGGGGGAGCAAGCGUUGUUCGGAUUUACUGGGCGUAAAGGGCGCGUAGGCGGUCAGCACAAGUCGGUUGUGAAAUCUCCGAGCUUAACUCGGAAAGGUCAACCGAAACUGUGCGACUAGAGUGCAGAAGGGGCAACUGGAAUUCUUGGUGUAGCGGUGAAAUGCGUAGAUAUCAAGAGGAACACCUGCGGCGAAGGCGGGUUGCUGGGCUGACACUGACGCUGAAGCGCGAAAGCCAGGGGAGCGAACAGG
rnacentral:rRNA from 1 species